rnacentral:rRNA from 1 species
GACGAACGCUGGCGGCGUGCCUAAUACAUGCAAGUCGAACGCAGUGGGGACGGGUGAGUAACACGUGGGUAACCUCCCAUCAGAGGGGAUAAAACUUGGAAACAGGUGCUAAACCGAUACUGAUGGAUGGACCCGCGUUGCAUUCGCUAGUUGGUGAGGUAACGGCUCACCAAGGCCACGAUGCAUAGCAGACCUGAGAGGGGGAGCGGCCACACGGGGACUGAGACACGGCCCAGACGCCUACGUGAGGCAGCAGUAGGGAAUAGUCGGCAAUGGACGAAAGUCUGAACGAGCAACGCCGCGUGAGUGAAGAAGGUUGUCGGAGCGUAAAACUCUGUUGGUAGAGAAGCGGUAUCUAACCAGAAAGCCACGGCUAACUCCGUGCCAGCAGCCGCGGUAAUUC